AUUGAACGCUGGCGGCAGGCCUGACACAUGCAAGUCGAACGAGUGGCGGACGGGUGAGUAAUGUCUGGGAAACUGCCUGAUGGAGGGGGAUAACUACUGGAAACGGUAGCUAAUACCGCAUACCAUCGGAUGUGCCCAGAUGGGAUUAGCUAGUAGGUGGGGUAACGGCUCACCUAGGCGACGAUCCCUAGCUGGUCUGAGCGGAUGACCAGCCACACCGGAAACGAGACACGGCCCAGACUCCUAAGGGAGGGCGCAGUGGGGAAUAUUGCAACAUGGGGGCAAGCCUUGUGCAGCCAUGCCGCGUGUAUGAAGAAGGCCUUCGGGUUUUAAAUUAAUUUCAGCGGGGAGGCGUUACCCGCAGAAGAAGCACCGGCUAACUCCGUGCCAGCAGCCGCGGUAAUUC
rnacentral:rRNA from 1 species